AUUGAACGCUGGCGGCAGGCCUAACACAUGCAAGUCGAGCGGAUGAAGGCAGCUUGCUCCUGGAUUCAGCGGCGGACGGGUGAGUAAUACCUAGGAAUCUGCCUGGUAGUGGGGGAUAACGUCCGGAACCGGGCGCUAAUACCGCCUACGUCCUGAGGGAGAAAGUGGGGGAUCUUCGGACCUCACGCUAUCAGAUGAGCCUAGGUCGGAGUAGCUAGUUGGUGGGGUAAAGGCCUACCAAGGCGACGAUCCGUAACUGGUCGGAGAGGAGGAUCAGUCACACUGGAACGGGGACAGGGACCAGGCGCCUACGGGAGGCAGCAGUGGGGAAUAGUGGACAGUGGGCGGAAGCCUGAUCCAGUCAGGGGGCGUGUGUGAAGAAGGUCUUCGGAGUGUAAAGAAGGUCAAGGGGGGGGGAAGGGCAGUAAGUUGAUACCUUGCUGUUGUGACGGUACUAAGAGAAGAAGCACCGGCUAACUUCGUG
rnacentral:rRNA from 1 species